rnacentral:tRNA from 1 species
GGGGAAGUGCUGGAAUUGGCAGACAGGCGUGACUUAGGAUCACGUGCCCUCUGGGCGUGUGGGUUCGACUCCCACCUUCCCUA